ensembl:lncRNA
AGAGGAUUAGGGCCAAGCAAUAAUAAAAAAAUAAAACCAUCUCGAGAUUAAUGUCAUUAUAUUGCGAACAUUUCAUUUCGACUUUUUUUCUCGAAACACAACGACUUUAUUCUCGAAAUUAAAUGAGUUUAUUCUCACGAUUAUUUCGACUAUUUUUCUCUAAAUUUAACGAGUUUUUUUUCUCGAAACACAACGAGUUUAUUCUCAAUAUUUAAUGAGUUUAUUCUCAAGAUUGUAUUUUGACUUUUUUUUCUCGAAAUUUAACGAGUUUAAUCUCGAAACACAACGACUUUAUUCUCGAUAUUUCAUGAGUUUAUUCUCAAGAUUGUAUUUCGACUUUUUUUUCUCGAAAUUUAACGAGUUUAAUCUCGAAACACAACGACUUUAUUCUCGAUAUUUCAUGAGUUUAUUCUCAAGAUUGUAUUUCGACUUUUUUUUCUCGAAAUUUAACGAGUUUAAUCUCGAAACACAACGACUUUAUUCUCGAUAUUUCAUGAGUUUAUUCUCAAGAUUGUAUUUCGACUUUUUUUUCUCGAAAUUUAACGAGUUUAAUCUCGAAACACAACGACUUUAUUCUCGAUAUUUCAUGAGUUUAUUCUCAAGAUUGUAUUUCGACUUUUUUUUCUCGAAAUUUAACGAGUUUAAUCUCGAAACACAACGACUUUAUUCUCGAUAUUUCAUGAGUUUAUUCUCAAGAUUGUAUUUCGACUUUUUUUUCUCGAAAUUUAACGAGUUUAAUCUCGAAACACAACGACUUUAUUCUCGAUAUUUCAUGAGUUUAUUCUCAAGAUUGUAUUUCGACUUUUUUUUCUCGAAAUUUAACGAGUUUAAUCUCGAAACACAACGACUUUAUUCUCGAUAUUUCAUGAGUUUAUUCUCAAGAUUGUAUUUCGACUUUUUUUCUCGAAAUUUAACGAGUUUAAUCUUGCAAUAUAAUGACUUUAAUCUCGAGAUGGUUUUAUUUUUUUAUUAUUGCUUGGCCCUAAUCCUCUUCCGUACUUAAGCUUUUGAAAAUGUCAAACAAUUAUAUUACUUUUGUACAAUAACAAUCGUUAUCUCAAUAAUGUUGACUAAUUUUAGCUGUACUUGAAUGUUG